rnacentral:misc_RNA from 1 species
UAUAUAUAUAUAUAUAUAUAUCAUUGAGUGAGGCAGUGAUUGGUGGCUAGUGAGACAGGACUCGUGAUAAUAACCGAUAAGAUUAUUUGAAUAAGAUAGAAGAUUAGAAAGAUGAUAAAAGUAAUUAAUUACCUUUUCUUAUAUAUUUUUCAUUUUUUUUUACUAACAUAUACUGUUUAUGUGGACACUAAUUAAUCUUCUUCAAUUUUCACCAAAGAUUUCUAAAUUCUCGAUAUAUAAUAAUUAUGUGGUUAAAAUUUCCAAAUGAUCAGUCUUCUUCUUUCCUUUUUUCCUUGAAAGGAAGGAAUUGCUGCCAUUGUUGGUGCUUCAAUUUUUCCACAUGAAAUAAUAGAACUUCAAUUCUCACUUUUGUGGUUCGGUGAAUAUAUGUAUAGUACAUGAGAGCCUUAACAUUUUCAGAACAAUUUGAGCAGUCACAUCUAUCAAAAGAAAGAAAUGGGUUUAAAUUAUGGGUCGUGUGCCUUUUUUUAAAAUCUAACUUCAUAGAAAGUCUUGCUUAGAGCUAAUUAGCUAUAGCUUUUCUCCAUAUAUAUACCUAAACGACCAAGGCCAGAGAUGUAGAAAUCAAAAGGGGUCUAUUAGGAUGAAUUAGAAAACGGCAUAUUAUAAUUUAUACCGUUAACCAAAAUUCUUCUUGGCCUCUUAUUUCACAUCGCCUGUUUAUGGAUAUCUAAACCUCUUUAUACCCUGUUAGGCUUAGGUUUCUAAUAUGGAAUCAAUGCAUAAUUCCUUUCCUUUGGGUUGUUUCUCAUAGGCUUAUGUAGAAGUAGUCUGUUAAUAAAAAUUCUUCCCUCCCUUGUUGGCUGCUUAUAAACUUUGGAACUUUUGAAUAACCUAUUAGCCUCUCUAAUUUUAGCGCUUGGAUUUUAAGGUUGAGUUUGGAUUUCUAAUAUUUACCAUAGACAAAAGGGUAUUUAUAGUUUCAUAUUCAUAUGUGGAUACUGCAUAUUUGUCCAAAUAAUGCUUCUAUAUCUAAUAGGGAAAAAAAAAACAUAUAUACAAUAUGCAAUAAUAAUGACAUUCAUUAGGGAUAAUUAUACUCUUUACUCUUUGAGGGCUAUGCAUUAUGCAAUAUGCAUGCUUUAAAAUGUUUUAAAAGAGUAACUGAUAGCCUUAUAUAAUUAAACCAUUGCGAAUUGAUCUUAUAGAAACGAUAAAUUAUCAAUCUUGAACUUUUUGGAGAAGAUUUUUUUUUUCUUUUAAGUAUCUAUAUAAUUUUUUUUAAUAAUUGAUAAAUAAUAAAUAUUAAAUUUUUUAGAUUGGAAAAAAAUAACUUGUAUUAUCAUCAUGGAAAUAAAUAGAAACCAUAUAUAUCUUUUGCAACACUAACAUUUUUCAGAGAUUAUAUGUUAAAUUAAAUUAUAUGGAUAUUUAAAAUGCUAAAUUAAUUUUGUCAAACAAAAAUGAGUUGAGAGAAAUUUCAAAAUAGCUGAAGAUGAUUGGAAUUCCUACUAAUAAAAGAUGCAAAGAAUGCAUAGAGGACAAAGGUCAAAAUGAAGAAGGCCUCAAAGAGGG